GAUGUAUUUCAUUUAAGCAUGAAUAUUGGAACUAAAAUUUGGUGCCAUGUGUUUUGGGAAAUUCGGCCAAAUCCUUAGGGUGAUUUUUUGGGUUCAUGUUUGUCUUGUUAAAAUGGUUUUAAGGUGACUUUUGGAACCCCUAAGUACCCUAGGAUAUUAGCCCUCUUUUGAGAGGUGAAAAAUUGAGUUUUGGUGAAUGAAAACAUCCAUGGAACUAUUAUGAGUUUUCAUGGUGUUCUUCAUUGUUCUUGGUGUUCUUGCCAAGAACAUAAAGUUUCAAAAGUUUUAUGUUUAUCAUAAAGUUUUGGUAUAUAAUUGAUUUAUUAUUUGAUGGGUGAUGUUAUUGGUGAGAUGUGAUGAAAUGGUUUAAUGUUUUGUCAUAAACUUUAAUUCUUUCUUACAAACCAUCACCUUCACCAUUAACCUCACCUAAUAAAAUCAACUUGCAAAAACUUUUUAGAAAUUUUUUCAAUUUUUUCAUUAAAUGGCCGGCCACCCCUAGUGGGGGUCCUUUUGGGGCCUUUUGUGCAAUUAACAUAAAGUUUUGAUACUUUUGUGUUUUUUGCAUUUUGGCCCAAAAGUUUACGUUUUUACGUUUAGGCCCUAAAACUCUAAAGGACAAAUUGUUUUGAUCCUUUAAUGAUGUUUUUUACAUUAUUAAAAUUUUGGGAU
rnacentral:lncRNA from 1 species